UUUCGGACCACUUUUCAGUGCUUCCAUUUGAACACAGAUAUCUGUACUUUGUAUUCUUUACAGGGCGGCACGGUAAGGGCGGCGUGGUGGACGACUCGUUAGCACUUCUGCCUCACAGUUCUGAGGACCCAGGUUCAAAUCCGGCCUCCCGUUUGUGGAGUUUGCACGUUCUCCCCGUUCCUGCGUGGGUUUUCCCCAGGUACUCCGGUUUCCUCCCACAUCAAAAAGAUGUAUGUAUUGAUACGAGCGAGCACACAAGCCAGCCUGCAGGUGAUCACUUUGCUCCCGCCAUCAACGUUAUUUCUUCACCACAUCAGCUGUGACCUGCACUGUGUGCUCCCACACAUAAUUGACGAAGUCGCCUCCACACGCCACAUGACUGGUGUUGCCAAUUCCACAUGACCUCCAGCUGUUCCCUCCGGUUUGAUGAACGCUUCCCAUAAGCC